rnacentral:rRNA from 1 species
GUUCUACAAUCGAAUCUCAGCUUGGUAAGACUACCCGCUGAACUUAAGCAUUAUACACACAAAA